rnacentral:misc_RNA from 1 species
GAUGAAGAACGCAGCGAAAUGCGAUAAGUAAUGUGAAUUGCAGAAUUCUGUGAAUCAUCGAAUCUUUGAACGCACAUUGCGCCCGCCAGUAUUCUGGCGGGCAUGCCUGUUCGAGCGUCAUUACAACCCUCAGGCCCCCGGGCCUGGCGUUGGGGAUCGGCGGAGCCCCCCGUGGGCACACGCCGUCCCCCAAAUACAGUGGCGGUCCCGCCGCAGCUUCCAUCGCGUAGUAGCUAACACCUCGCGACUGGAGAGCGGCGCGGCCACGCCGUAAAACACCCAACUCUUCUGAAGUUGACCUCGAAUCAGGUAGGAAUACCCGCUGAACUUAAGCAUAUCAAUAAGCGGAGGA